CACAAUAGAUACAUAUAUACACACACUCUCUCCCCUCUCGCUGUAGCUAUCUAUCCUGUAUAUCACUCUAUCCCUCAUUUUAUAGGGAACUUCCUUAUGUCCUGUGCAUCAUUCUGUUCCCUUAUUUGGUUACCUACAUAUCUUGAGUCCUCUUGUUCUCUGGAUCGCUUACUAUCACUCCUGUCUGUCUGUGUAGAAGAUCCAGUACCGGAUCCUUUAAGUGAUCGCGUAACCAGGAGGAAAUCUCAGUUAUAAAACAAGACACAUUUGGUUUCUCUGCAUGUAGGAAAAACAUGGGAUGGUCAUGGUCGGAAUGCCUCGAACAGUACUGAUCUAGCCGACAACUUUGCGAACUCUUUGUACUUAUUUGUCAACAGAGAUAAUCAUGAUUUAUUCUUUCACAUUCUCUCACUAUCUUUCUUAACAUUUCGUGAUGGAAAAAUAUUAAGAGGUAACGUCAAACAUGAAACACCGCUUUUGAAGUUCUCAUAACUACUAUCAACCUGUUUAGGUCUUUGCAAAAGCCUGCAUUGUCGUGAUUGAUCUGGCACUAAACAACAGACUUUCGAUGUUAUUUAACCUUAGAUCAGCUCUGGUCAAGCAGAUCUAUGAACAAAGGCAUGCCAAACACAAGUCAUUCCAUAUUUUUAAAGAUCCCUUUAUUCGAGGUAAAUUUGGCUUGCUUUGUAACAGUUUCAGCGACCACGCAAAAGGCCCCGUAACCUCGGGUCAGUUUUAAUUGAACAAUUUACGAUCAAGCGUGUUCGAUCCGUGACCACCCGUUCUUUUUUGUGUAUCAUUUUUUUCGGUGGAAUUCUGGUUUAAGCACCUUAUAUACCUCAUAACUUUUUUGUUUUGGAAUUUUCAGGUUUUUGCGAAUUUGCGUUUUGCACACGCGAAUUCAUACGAUUGAUCGUCGAUUAUUCUUUUACUUGUUUCAGUCACUUGACUGCAGCCAUACUAAGAGCGCCGCCUUUAAGGGUUUUAGUCGAAGAAGUCGACCCCAGGACUUAUUCUUCGUAAGCCUAGUACUUAUUCUAUCGGUCUGUUUUCCCGAACCGCUAAGUUACGGUGACAUAAACACUCUAGCGUCGGUUCUCAAGCGAUGGCGGGGUGAGGGGACAAACAGACAGACACAGACACAUACACACACACAUAUAUUCAACGGGCUUCUUUCAGUUUCCUUCAAUGAAAUCCACUCACAAGGCUUUGGUCAGCCGGAGGCUAUUGUAGAAGACUCUUGACCUAGGUGCCACCCAGAACCAUGUGGUUGAGAAGCAAGCUUCUUACCACACAGCCACGCCUGCUUUUUGUGUGUGUGUAAUUUAAGGGCGAUUUAGCUGUUUUUAGCACAUCCCACAACCACCUGAGGCUUUCCCGUUUCUUUGUCAUUCUGAUAUAUAUUGAUGUUUUUCCACAUUUUUCUCCCCCAUAAACACAUUUAAUUUUUCAUUGUUAGGAUUUAAGCAAAAAAUUCGGACUGUUCGUAUUUUAAACUUUCAUUUAAAAAAAAAAAUUUCGAAAAAGAAUUUAGGAAAAGGGUGAGUAAAAAUAAUUUAAAAAAAAUAUAUAAUCGUAUGAAUUCCCGUGUGUAGAACCAGAUUCGCAAAAAUUUUCUAAAAAUUACAAAAAAUAAAGACGUAAUGAAGGGUUAUACUGGGUGCUUAAACCAGAACUCCGCUGAAAUUACGACAGAUCCGGACUUCCGCACCCGACCAGUAUACCAACCUAUGAGAUGAAUCAUUUGAUGAUGAGCUAGCAAGGGUGGGAUACUAUGUGGUUAAUCAACAUGCUAGAAAUAGUGGUCAUGUUUCCCUCAAAUCAUAAUAUUACAAUCUCCUGAGUAAGGUAUGGCUUGGGGGAAAAUAAAACAACCAUUUGUCUUCUGGAUACUAUCUGAAAAAGAGAGGGAUAUACUGAUUAACAGGGUAAUGUAGUCUGUAAUACACUCCCGUGAAAAAUACAGGAGAUGAUAACUGCUGAAAUAUCGUUGAUGAGAGGACAGGGUCUGACGUGGAGUUGAACAACAACAACUACUACUAGUCAACAAAAGAGUAUCUGUAGUCACUCGACUUGCAAGAAAUAGCAGCCAAAUCUCUCAAAUUACACCUUAUUGCCCCCAAAAAAGAAGGAAACUGAAUAAUGUAGUAUGAAAAUAUAAAAGAUAGGAUGGACACGGCUGGAACAACAUUUGAUUGUAGGUUUACUUGAACAGGGUUGAUUUACUACCACUACUACUAAUACUACUACCGCCACCACCAUCACUACUACACCAGUUGCUACUACUACUACUGCCACCACUACCACCAACACCACUAUUACUACAGCUAAUAUCACCACCAUUACUACGAUUGCUGCUGCUGCUACUACUACUAUUACUACCACCACCACCACCACUUCCACUGGAUAGGGGUGGUAUGGAAUGUGUAGAAAAUAGAUUUGGAGGUAGGUUUUAGUCCAUUAUAUGUCACAAGCCAGCUCUGAUCUCAGGUCAAACGGUCAUCAUCAACUGACAAAUACGAAGGCUUCUACGUGGUUAUUGAACUGGCAAAAAAUAACAGCCAAAUAUCCUUAAAACCAUGAAAAAGACAUUGGAUAAUAUAGUACUGGGUUCCUGCUCUAAGUGUGGGAAAAACAGAAUUUUCAUGGCUGGGCAAUCUUUGAUAAUAAGUCUGCUUGUUCAGGGCUGACCUGGGGUUAAACAAUGAUAGCAACUACUAUCAAAUGAAUUAACAUGGUCGCCGUUAUGAGGUCAUUCAACCUGACAAUGCAAGACUGAACAUUUUUUUUCAGAUGCAACAGAAGUUACUGUGCUUAGAUGGGAAGUUUAGAUGUAUCCUCCAUAUUUGCCCAACCUUGCCUCUUUGAAUUUCAUUGAAUGUAAAAAUUCACCUUGAAGAGUUAUUUUGCUAGUAAAGACAGGAAAUUCUUUGAGCAGGGAAUAAUGUAUCUGCCUACCAGAUGGCAGAAAACACUGGGACAUUGAUUGAAUAAAUCACUCUGUUUUGUUUUUGCUUAGCAAAACCAAACAGAUAUUUUAGGUAAUCCAAUGUAUGUGGUGUGUGUGUGUGUGUAUGCAUGAAUGUAUGUAAUCUUGCAAGCCUUUGCACAUAAAUGUGCUGAUAUCUACAUGCAUUAUGGAACAACAGGAAAGCUUUUCAACAUCUGUCAUUUCACUGUCGUAACAGAAACUUUCAUGGCUCUCAUUCGUGAUCUUUAAACUAAUGAUUGCAAUCUUGUAAGCCACUCUGAGGAAGACCUGCAGUUCCUGAUGGAUUGAUUUUGAGCCAUGUGUGAUGAAUUUGGACUUAGAACCAAUUUUAAAAACACUGUAGUUGAACUUACAACCAGUCUUAAGAAGACUGUACAAAGUCGUGGAUACAUUUGUCUACCUUGGUAGCAUGUUAUCUAGAUUUAAUACAUUUGAUGAAGAAGUUAGUUAUAGACUUUCUAAGGCCUGUGAAGCAUUUAGAAAACUUGAAUCAAAGCUCUGGUCACAAUCAAACAGCAAAGAAGCAACAAAAGUUGUGGUCUUUCAAGCAUGUCUUAACUGUGCUGGUGUAUGGAUGUAAGAUCUAAUCAACCUACUGCAGGCCUUUCAAAGACACACUUAAAAAGAUCAGUACUAAUACUAACACCUGGGAAGAUCUUAUAUCAGAUAGGGAGCUGUGGCUGAUUGCUAAGGGUGUUAAAGUAUUCAAGAACAACAGUAUGGCAUACACCCAAUUGAAACGUCCUGGAUAUAUAGAGGAUGUGGAUCCUCUCCCCGAGAAGGACAUAAAAGAGUCUCUUUUCGUGUGACCAGUGCCCUCAUCUCUGUUUCUCAAGCACAGUUCAACUCAGCCAUGAGUGAGGUCACAGAGACACCCCUGUCUACCAAUGUGAUAUCCAGCAUGCUCUCUCAUGCAUUUUGUGUACUAGAAUGCUUGUACUCACUCAGCAUUUUAAGCAUAUAUAUAUAUAUAUAUAUAUGUCUGUAUGUAUGUAUACAUGCUAAUAUUGGUUUCAGAUUUUGGCACUGAGCCAGCAAUUUUAGGGGAGGGAUAAGUUAGUUAUGUCCAGUAUUCAGCUGGUACUCAUUUUAUCGACCCCAAAGGGAUGAAAGGUAAAAUUGACCUUAGUUGAAUUUGAACUCAGAAUGUGAAGAUGCACAAAAUGUAUUUUGUCCAGUGUGCAAAUGAUUCUGCCACCUCACUGCUUUAUAUAUACUAAUAUUGAACAGUGAGAAAGAGCACUCAACACCGGCUUGGUUUUUGAGCAGGUAUAUGAUCAAAGAUGUCUUUUACCCUAUGGAGAAGUAACUCUAAACCAUACAAUCUAAUAUGUGUAGUGGACCUUGCAUGCAUGAAGUGGAUUCGAUCCACCAUAGCCAAAUUUAAAUCAACACUGCAACAGAACUUUUCCCACGGUGGAACAAUGGUUUUUCUCUGACAACAGUUUAAUAUUUUCCAGAUGCCUUUAGCUAGGCCCGAAACAAUGUCUUCACCAUUUGACCCUUCCUAACCUCUCCUACAUCACCAAAAUCUAGAAUAGAGAUAACAAGACCACCAGCUAAAUCUAUUGUACUCAAUAAUAUAUCUAUCCUUCUGGAUUGUUAUAAAAGCAAGGAAAUCCCAAGCAAAAUUUAGUUUAGUCACCAGUCGGUGACGACCCAACCAGUCCAGUCACACUGUGACGACUCAAUGAGAACGAAGUCUGGCUGACCAGCUAGAACCUUGGCCAAAGGAAAAAAAUGAAGUUUACUGCUAGCAACUGGGAGACAACGUCCCACACUCUAUAACUCUUACUAGCCCAUUUCUUUUCUCAGUAAUAUUACCAUAUCUCUCUGUCUAUUUACUACUAUAAGAUCGUGUACACACAUAUACAGGCCGAAAUUAACUUUCUUUACCUUGCAUGCUUUACGAACUGUGUUAUACUAUUACACUAACCUACCUGUCGUGGUAUGACAUUAAAGUAACGGUAAAUAAAUAUUUCUUUACAACUUUGA